rnacentral:lncRNA from 1 species
AACACUGUGUUAAUGGUUAUGAACAAACUGGGUUGUGGCUUUAAAUGGGUGCAUCGGAUACACAGAUGAUAUAAACUGCCCCCACAUUUACUGCAAAAAUCCAGUUGAAAGUCCGCCACAUGUACCAGUCUGUUAUAAAUACGAAAGUAAAGAAGCCUCCUGGGCUUUUAUUACAGCAGGAGAUGUGCUACAGAUGCAUUUUUUUCAAAGUUAUUGCACCCGUACAAAUAGAUAUAUAUAUAUAUAUAUAUAUAUAUUUUUCAUCCUGUUCUCAAUUUUCAAAACCAGCCCAAAAAGAUGUAUCCAAGCCUCAGAAGCACCCACUUGAUCUCCUGGACUUUUCAAAACCCACUUUGUGCACAGAAAGGCUUUUUGGAAUGUUAAUGAGUGAACUUCAUGGACAUGUUAUCUUGUGGGAGCCUGAAAGUUGUACAGCUUUUGGAAAAUUGCACAUGCUUUUUCUGGUUGAAAAGCCAUCAUAUUCUCACAGUACAAAACUUGCCUUUAAGCACUAUUAGGGUUUGAAACCUAGUUCCCAUUUUGCACCAGAAUUGGCAAAAUAAAAAAGAUGGAGAAACAAAGGCAAAAAGAGGGAGGGAAUGUGUGAUGCUCCUUGCUGGCAAGGUUUUGUGAGAGACUGGAUUAGCACUAAGUGACACAGUCAAGGAGUUUGAGAUACUUUAAGUCCACACAACAUGAAUCUUCCAGCAAUGCUCCAAAUAUAACCAGUCUUGCACAUCCAUAUAGAGCAGACAGGCAGGGGUGAUGAGCACCUGUUUUGUUGGGUGGUUACUCCACAAUUUAGGGUUUGCAUGAAUCUGAUUGUUGAAUCAAACUGAAACCAGGGCUUCAUUCAAGCAGGCAGUGUAGCUGGAUGCUGUUGCCCAAGUGAAAGCUUCAUUGACUAGAUCCACUCACACAACCUUCCCCUUUUUGCUUGAUUUUGUACUCCAGUGCUCCAUGCCUGGAUUUGCCCUAUUUUUACCCACAGUGUAGUAUAGUGUAAGUUGCAAACUUGAGUGAAUCAAAUAACAUGUUUUUGGGCUGCAAACAGAAACACACCUGUAAAUUUUCAUCUAAACUGUGCACCAUGUUCUUGUUUAUAUUUGGUUCUGUGUCAAUGGAAUAUUACAUGAUUAUUAAAAAGUUCUCUGCAUCAAAUUACAUUGUCAUUUUUCAACACAUUCUUCAUUUCCCAAAGAAAUCAGCAUGUUAUAUGAGCAUUUGAGGAUGGUUAGACAGACAGACAGACAUGCAUACACUCUUUGGUUAAUGCACACACAGUAAUAAAAUGUUCCUACUGGUAUUAAGUAUUGUAUGGCACAUUUAUAAAAUAUUUCUUGAACCCACAAGUGCAUAUAAAAAUAUGAUACAGUUUCAGUAAUACUGGUCAAUUUAUUUCACAUCACCAAGAUGGUAAUAUACUUCAGAAACCCAUUGGGUACAAUGAAUAAUAAUAAUAAUGAUAAUAGUAAUAAAUCAUAGAGUGUAAUUUUCCCAUUUCUUUUAUUUUUUUAAUCACCAUAGGAAAGUGAGCAAAGGAAACCACAAGAAAUUUUCUAAUAAAUUAUAAAAUUUAAACAUUAUCAUCCUCUAUCAUAGUAUACUGGGAUUUCAAUACCACCAUCUCCUUGCAGGGCAUCCAAAAUUGUUCACUUAAACACACUACAAUCUAGAUCUCCAUAUAAUAUGGCCUGUAGAUUUAUAUUGAGUUUUACUCUUGAAUUGUUAUCAUACAAAAAAUAAAAAUAAAUAAAAGAGAAAAAAAAAGAUACCUCCUACCCAUUUCCAAAAAUCAAAGAAUCACACACAAACACAAAUGAUGUUUGUUGGCACACUUUUUACAAUUGUGGAUUUGUAAAACAAAAAAGGACUUCAUUCUGUUCUAUUUUGUCACAUCAUUCAUGGAAAACAAAAUCAAAACAAAUCAAAAAAAGGGUUUCAUUUGUUAUCAAACAAAGUUAGGGUUCAUUCAUCACAAGACAACACACAUGCUUUCCUUCAACUUUUCCAUCUAUAAUUUCCACCAAAACUGUCAUGAAGACAGAGACAGAUCAUAGUCCAAUUUUGUAGCAUAAUAUAUAUAUAUAUAUAUAUAUAUUUUCCAUCCUUGCACAAAAGAAUCUUAGCUGCAUAAAGAGGGAAAAAGCUGACUCUUCUGGCUAUGCUUCAGACAGCCAUGGCCGUGGGCAGUCCACAGAAAUGUCCAUGUGGUAUUACACAAUUGGCAUACACAGCAAAACCAUCACAUCUGGCAUCUGAACAAUGAGAGAAACAGGAUGCCAGAAAGGGGCCAAAAUGGGCAAAGGAGGGGGUGGCUGAUGGGAUCCAUCAGCCCUUUUGAACCUUCAUUUUCAACUGCAUCCUGAUCCCUUACAACUGUAUAAGAAUUCCCAACUUUGAUUGUUUGAUGAAGAUGCAGAAAUGAAGUUUUUCUCUGCCAUUCCUUUAAGCCACCAAAUAGCUGGCACCUGGAGCUGAGUCCUUAAUGUGUCAGCAAUGCUCUCCAAAAUGACACAUUUUCCACAGAUUUUCCACAAGUCUGGUAGCACUGAAACAGUAGUAACAUGACAAAGCUUGAUGGGUACAGAAUGCUAAUGCAUGCUUUUGUGGUGCACUAUGGACCAUAGUUAAUGGUUCUGUGUGCCUGUGAAAAGCCACCAUGACAAGGUGGGAUAAAACUAGUACAAGGUACAUAAAUUUCUGAAAGAAAAAAAGAAAAUGAACACAAGGGGAGGAGAAAAUAUAGAUACAAUAAUGUCAAUAAAUGGAGAUAUUUUUCAUGACAUGGGUUUUGCAUCUGGAUUCCUUGUCCACAUAUCCC